rnacentral:rRNA from 1 species
AGUGAACGCUGGCGGUAGGCCUAACACAUGCAAUUCUAACGGCCGCACAGUAAGAGCUUUCUCUUGCGGGUGGCGAGUGGCGGACGGGUGAGGCAUACAUCGGAAUCUACUUUUUCGUGGGGGAUAACGUAGGGAAACUUACGCUAAUACCGCAUACGACCUACGGGUGAAAGCAGGGGAUCUUCGGACCUUGCGCGAUUGAAUGAGCCGAUGUCGGAUUAGCUAGUUGGCGGGGUAAAGGCCCACCAAGGCGACGAUCCGUAGCUGGUCUGAGAGGAUGAUCAGCCACACUGGAACUGAGACACGGUCCAGACUCCUACGGGAGGCAGCAGUGGGGAAUAUUGGACAAUGGGCGCAAGCCUGAUCCAGCCAUACCGCGUGGGUGAAGAAGGCGUUACGCUUGUACAGUACUCUUGUCUCGAAAGAACAGGAGCUGGAUCAUAGCUCGGCGUACUGACGGUACCGAAAGAAUAUGGAGCGGCUAAUGGAGUG